GGGGGUGCAGCUCAGUGGUAGAGCACUUGCCUAGCAUGUGCAAGGCCCUGGGUUCCACCUCCAGCACCCCAA
rnacentral:tRNA from 1 species